UACAGAGGGUGCAAGCGUUAAUCGGAAUUACUGGGCGUAAAGCGUGCGUAGACGGUUAUGUAAGUCGGGUGUGAAAGCCCCGGGCUCAACCUGGGAAUUGCAUUCGAGACUGCAUAGCUAGGGUGCGGAAGAGGGAAGCGGAAUUUCCGGUGUAGCGGUGAAAUGCGUAGAGAUGUGGAGGAACACCAAUGGCGAAGGCAGCCUUCUGGGCCAACACUGACGCUCAUGCACGAAAGCGUGGGGAGCAAACAGG
rnacentral:rRNA from 1 species